CUCGGAGCCUCAGGAUGCCCGCAACGUGAGGGUAACGGGGCGGGGCCAUCACGGGAUCAUCCUCCAAUCAGGGAGAGCGAAGCUGAAACUCAGCUCUGACCCAGCAGGACCAGAACCUGAGCAAGACCGCGGUGUCUGCCUCGCGUGCCAUGGGUUCCAGGUCCCUUCCCUGGGCCGUACUUUGUCUCCUGGGAGCAGGCCCCUUGGCGGCUGGAGUCACUCAAACUCCAAGACACGUGAUCAAAUCAACAGGACAGACAGUGACACUGAGAUGUUCCCCUGUCUCUGGGCACCGCAGUGUGUCUUGGUACCAACAGGCCCUGAAUCAGGGCCCCCAGUUCCUCUUUGAGUUUUAUGACCAAAUGCCAAGAGCCAAAGGAAACGUCUCAGAUCGAUUCUCAGUACAACAGUCCAGUAACUCUCUCUCUGAGCUGACCCUGAGCUUCUCAGAGCUGACAGACUCCGCCCUGUACCUCUGUGCCAGCAGCCUGGCACAGCCCUGCGGAGUCACCAACCUUCUGUGCACAAACCUCCCUGCCUCUGCUUGA